rnacentral:rRNA from 1 species
UACGAAGGGGGCUAGCGUUGUUCGGAUUUACUGGGCGUAAAGCGCACGUAGGCGGAUCGUUAAGUCGGGGGUGAAAUCCUGGAGCUCAACUCCAGAACUGCCUUCGAUACUGGCGAUCUUGAGUCCGGAAGAGGUGAGUGGAACUCCUAGUGUAGAGGUGGAAUUCGUAGAUAUUAGGAAGAACACCAGUGGCGAAGGCGGCUCACUGGUCCGGUACUGACGCUGAGGUGCGAAAGGCGUGGGGAGCAAACAGGG